GAUGAACGCUGGCGGCGUGCCUAAUACAUGCAAGUCGAGCGAACGGACGAGAAGCUUGCUUUUCUGAUGUUAGCGGCGGACGGGUGAGUAACACGUGGAUACCCUACCUAUAAGACUGGGAUAAUUUCGGGAAACCGGCGCUAAUACCGGAUAAUAUUUUGCACCGUAUGGUUCAAAAGUGAAAGACGGUCUUGCUGUCUCUUAUAGAUGCAUCUGGGCUGAAUUAGCUAGUUGGUACGGUAACGGCUUGCCACGGCAACGAUGCAUAGCCGACUGGAGAGGGUGGUCGGCCACACUGGAGCUGGGACGCGGUCCAGACUCCUACGGGAGGCAGCAGUAGCGUAUCUUCCGCAGUGGGCGAAAGCCUGACGGAGCGACGCCGCGUGAGUGAUAGAAGUCUUCGGAUCGUAAAACUCUGUUAUUAGGGAAGAACAUAUGUGUAAGUAACUGUGCACAUCUUGACGGUACCUAGUCAGAAAGCCACGGCUAACUACGUG
rnacentral:rRNA from 1 species